AUUGAACGCUGGCGGCAUGCCUUACACAUGCAAGUCGAACGGCAGCACGGGUGCUUGCACCUGGUGGCGAGUGGCGAACGGGUGAGUAAUACAUCGGAACAUGUCCUGUAGUGGGGGAUAGCCCGGCGAAAGCCGGAUUAAUACCGCAUACGAUCUACGGAUGAAAGCGGGGGCCCUUCGGGCCUCGCGCUAUAGGGUUGGCCGAUGGCUGAUUAGCUAGUUGGUGGGGUAAAGGCCUACCAAGGCGACGAUCAGUAGCUGGUCUGAGAGGACGACCAGCCACACUGGGACUGAGACACGGCCCAGACUCCUACGGGAGGCAGCAGUGGGGAAUUUUGGACAAUGGGCGAAAGCCUGAUCCAGCAAUGCCGCGUGUGUGAAGAAGGCCUUCGGGUUGUAAAGCACUUUUGUCCGGAAAGAAAUCCUUGGCCCUAAUACGGUCGGGGGAUGACGGUACCGGAAGAAUAAGCACCGGCUAACUACG
rnacentral:rRNA from 1 species